CCAUGGAGAUGGCAUCUCUCAAAAGAGUUCCUUUUGUAGCUUGUGGAGCUUCAGAUUGAUAAUUCUGCCAUUUUCAUUUCAUUUCCUGAAAGUCAGGGUUGGCUCGUGAAAAGUUGUUAAACAACAUGCUAAAUGUGAAAUGUCAACCCUCACUCUAAACUUUCCCUGUUCAGAGCAUCAAAUGAAGACUUAUAGAUCGGAAGAGCG